rnacentral:rRNA from 1 species
GCUACGGGCGGCAGCAGUGGGGAAUUUUGGACAAUGGGCGCAAGCCUGAUCCAGCUAUUCCGCGUGUGGGAUGAAGGCCCUCGGGUUGUAAACCACUUUUGUAGAGAACGAAAAGACACCUUCGAAUAAAGGGUGUUGCUGACGGUACUCUAAGAAUAAGCAACGGCUAACUACGUGCCAGCAGCCGCGGUAAUACGUAGGGUGCGAGCGUUAAUCGGAAUUAAUGGGCGUAAAGGGUGCGCAGGAGGUUGGGUACGACAGAUGUGAAAUCCCCGAGCUUAACGCGGGAAUGGCAUAUGUAAAUGGUCGACUAGAGUGUGUCAGAGGGAGGUGGAAUUCCACGUGUAGCAGUGAAAUGCGUAGAUAUGUGGAAGAACACCGAUGGCGAAGGCAGCCUCCUGGGACAUAACUGACGCUCAGGCACGAAAGCGUGGGGAGCAAACAGGAUUAGAUACCCCUGUAGUC